rnacentral:sRNA from 1 species
UUCACCUUUUAAUUGAAGUCCAGAGAGGCUUAAAAGGGUGGUGCGAAAAUCAAAGACAGGAAGGCUGGCAAUGACUGCUUUUCAUCUUUGAUUUGCAUAUUGCCGCCCUGAGCCUAUCUUUGGCCAGGGUGUUUUUUAU